rfam:Kluyvera intermedia strain CAV1151 plasmid pCAV1151-215, complete sequence.
UACUUCACGGAAGAGUGAAGUCUUCCGUAAGGAUGCAGCAGACUGAAGCAAUUCAGACAUCCCGCAACCAGCGUUAGUAAGCAGUUCCUAUCACUGGUCCAGGCCAAGUCCGGUAAUGGCGCUCUGAAUACCAGGUUUAACUACCUGGCGAAACCCACCCUAGAGGUGGGUUUU